AUGGUGGUGAUUACUGGUGCUGGAAUGUUUUUGGCUUCCAGCAGGGCCUCUGUGCUCUGCUUCUGUCCCCAUGUCUCUCCGUCCCGUGAGCCACGCCACAAGGCAGAUACCCCUCUACCAGUGUUCAGAACGGCUGCAAGCAAUUGCCACAGGCUGGCCAAGAAGCCCUUACGGCACCCAGACCGCACGCACCGCUUGUUUCAUACACACAGGAACACGCAUGCAGGAAGAGUAAUGCCCGGGCGUGUGUGCAUUUGGCUUCUCAAAAUCGCCAGGAUUCCCAAAUCGGCCAAACUGCCUGAAGCCCUGAGAAGCAGGACAGGAAGGGCCGGAGAGGUAAACACUGAUGAGAGCAGAGACUGGAGGACAGUGACCCCGACAUGGCACAGCAGAGACCAGCCUGAGCCUCAGGAUGGCUGUGGGCUAGGGAAUGAGGGAAGGAGGAGGAAGUGGGGCCGGGCGUGGGCCUCUCUCUCAAGAGGCUGGCUGUGGGCGCUGGGGGGCUCAGUGGUUGAGCGUUGCCUUCCGCUCAGGGCGGGAUCCCGGGAUCCCGGGGUCCUGGGAUCCGUCCCGUCGGGCUCCCUGCAGGCAGCCCGCUUCUCCCUCUGCCUGUGUCCUGCCUCUCCCUGCCUGUCUCUCAUGAAUAAAUAAAUAAAAUCUUAAAAAAAAAAAAAAAGAGGGUGCCUGUGAGAAAAGGGACCCCAGAGGCCAGUGGUCUCAGGGCACCCCAGUUAACAUGUAGGGAUUUGGUAGUUUCAGGGUUGAGGGAAAGGUUCCCAACCUGUGGGAAUACAGGGAUUCGGGUUGCCCCAAAACCCAGGGGGGGGGGGGGGGGGGGCCGCCUCUGCUUCCUCUUUGGGGACCAGAAUGUGAGCUCUUAGCAGGUGACAGAGGCAGGAAGUAGGAUGCCCUGCUGGAGGGGCUCUCUCUUCUUUGGGACUUGGAUGGUGGGGAGAGGGAGCCAAGAGGAGGGAGGGGGAGCGGGAAGGGAGUGGGGCUUUCCAGCUGGCUCAGGGCUGGGGUGGCGGGAUCCUACAAUGUGAGAGCCCUGGGGGACAGUGCCCAGAGACCUGGUCUCCCAGGUCUGAAGCCCCUCUCCGAUGCCUCUUUCCUGAGGAUCCCAUCCAGCUCUUCAGGGGGACUCCAAGGACCCUCAAGAACUGAGACUCAUUGAUUUUGGUGAAAAACAAGAGUUUCAGUAAAAUGGGGACCCUCUGUCCUUGUCCAGGGCCGGAAGGGGGUUUGAAAUUGCCUGGUUGGUGGUCUAGGUGUGAGGUCUUUUUGGUGCCCCCUAGCAGGCAGGCAGGCAGAGAGCGGGACCUGGGGGAUGGACCCUCCCAUCUUCCCUUGGGGACUGACCCUCUUUUCCGGGGGCCUCGUGUCCUCCUCCCCACCAUAAUCCCACCUCUUCCUCUAUCUACUCAGGAUCCCUGGAUCCUGAAGCCGGCUUCUGGAGGAGUGAGCCUGGAGGGUGGCCCUGGAGGCCCAUGCUGGGAAGCCCCUCCCAGUGGCCCAUUUUGCUCCCUGAAGCCUGCAACCAGGGGAACAGAUGGCCCCCCUUCCCUGACUGCUCCUUAGUAAACCCUGGGGGCCCCCUCAGCUCCUCCUUGUGGCCUCCCCAGUGUCCCCCUCCUACUUUGGGAAGCAGUGA
rnacentral:lncRNA from 12 species